AUAGAAACUUCAAGCAUACAACUCACCAUUCACACUCCACACACUAAAACAAGUAAGCAACAUAUAUAUUACAACGACACAUUUUGUAGGAUAGCCACCAGAACUUUGAAGUUCUCUACUUUAUUGGCCACACAAUACCAGAUUAAAUAAAGCCCAAGAUUAUUUAUGGGUUAUGGGUAGUAGUGGCGGAGACGGCGGUAGUAGCCGUGUUCUUUGGUGGCUUAAAGCCACUGGGCAUUCCGUAUCCUGCAGGGUUAGGGAGGAAGGGGAAUGGUGGAAAGAGUGAAUAACCUGAUGAUGGAGAUGAUGAAUCACCUGUUGAGAUAUUACAAUGGAGGCUCUUUUCUCUUAAUUUCCAACCCCUUUCUUGGGGAUACAUGUUCUAUAUUUAUACUACUUGUCUAAUACUUGUGUGUGUUUUGGACCACAUGUCCUUGGACCCGUAAAUGGGCUUCUAGUCUAGUGGGCUGAGGCCCAACAUUAGUCCCCCUCCAAAGUAGUUCCAGAUCUUUAGAUGUGGAUUAGAUUGUUUUAGAAAGCAUUUUUACCGCAUGUAAUUUUUGUUGCUUGACAAGUUCAUUGUGGCGUGGAGGCUGUGAGCCAUUUUUGUAAGGAGGUACAUGAGGUGAUGAGGUUGAUUGUGACCGUUGUGGCGAGGACUGUUGAUUUGCAGAAAAACAUGUACUGAACUUGGGAGGCAAUAGAAGCUGUGAAGUUGAGGAGCUGGAAGCAAGUAUUGGUGAACUAUUGCAUACUGAUAAUGAAGUUAAUGUAGAUGCCUUGAUUCACAUUCUAGUUUGCGCGCAAAGCGGGCUUAUCUCGAAGGUGAUGUGCUUGGGCAGAUGAAGCCUUAGGGCGUGAUACCUGAGACCCGUUGUAAGGCUCUGCCUGCCAUUUGAAGGACGCUCGCUGAGCUAGUGAAGCGACGAUGUAGUGAAGAGGUGUGAUACCCGAGACCCGUUGUAGGGCUUUGCAUGCCAUUCGAAGGGCGCUCGCUGAGCUAGAGACCCGUUGUAGGGCUUUGCAUGCCAUUCGAAGGACGCUCGCUGAGCUAGUGAAGCGAUGUAGUGAGGAAGCGUGAUACUGGAGACCCGUUGUAGGGCUUCGAAGGACGCUCUUUGAGUUAGUGAAGCGAUGUAGUGAAGAGGCGUGAUACCUGAGAUCCGUUGUAGGGCUUUGCCUGCCAUUUGAAGGAUGCUCGCUGAGCUAGUGAAGCGAUGUAGUGAGGAGGCGUAAUGCCUGAGACCCGUUGUAGGGCUUUGCCUGAGACCUGUUGUAGGGCUUUGCCUGCCAUUUAAAGGACGCUCGCCGAGCUAGUGAAAGAAUGUAGUGAGGAGGGGUGAUACCUGAGACCCGUUGUAGGGCUUUGUCUACCAUUUGAAGGACGCUCGCUGAGCUAGACGCUUUAAGACCUGUAUUAAGAUGCUUCAUGAAUUGGACGCUCAAUGAGCAAUUGAGAAUGCUUCAUAAAUUGGACAAUCAAAGAGCCAUUAAGAACGCUCCAAGAGCUGUAUUUAAGGACACCUCAUAAGCGAGACGCCUCACAGGCGGGGCGCCUCAUAGGCAGGACACCUCACAAAUGAGACGCCACACAGGGGGGGCGCUUCAAAAAUUGGACGCUCGAAGAGCUGUUGGAGCAAAGAGCCGAAUUAUGGAGUCAUUUUGAGGCAAUGCCUUUUACUUUCAAGGAUGUUCCAAAAGCUGAUGGAGUGAAGAGGCGAAAUAUGGAGUCAUUUUGAGGCAAUGCCUUUUACUUUCAAGGAUGUUCCAAAAGCUGAUGGAGCGAAGAGGCGAAAUAUGGAGUCAUUUUGAGGCAAUGCCUUUUACUUUCAAAGAUGCUCCGAGAGCUGAUGGAGCAAAGAGACGAAUUCUAGAUUCAUGUUGUUGUUUUUGUUUUGUUUUGUUUUUUUUUGUUUUUGUUUUGGAUUCCCAUAGGGACGUAUGUUUGUUUCCUUUGGAUCCCGUUGGGAUUUAAAUUUCUGUAUGCUCUAAGAGCUGAUGGAGCGAAGAGGCGAAUUCUAGAUUCUUUUUUUUUUUGGAUUCCCAUAGGGAUGUAUGUUUGUUUCCUUUGGAUCCCGUUGGGAUUUAAAUUUCUGUAUGCUCUAAGAGCUGAUGGAGCGAAGAGGCGAAUUCUAGAUUCUUUUUUUUUUUGGAUUCCCAUAGGGAUGUAUGUUUGUUUCCUUUGGAUCCCGUUGGGAUUUAAAUUUCUGUAUGCUCUAAGAGCUGAUGGAGCGAAGAGGCGAAUUCUAGAUUCUUUUUUUUUUUGGAUUCCCAUAGGGAUGUAUGUUUGUUUCCUUUGGAUCCCGUUGGGAUUUAAAUUUCUGUAUGCUCCAAGAGCUGAUGGAGCGAAGAGGCGACAUAUGGAGUCAUUUUGAGGCUAUGCCUUUUACUUUCAAGGAUGCUCUGAGAGCUGAUGGAGCAAAGAGGCGAAUUCUAGAUUCAUUUUUUUUGGAUUCCCAUAGGGAUGUAUGUUUGUUUCCUUUGGAUCCCGUUGGGAUUUAAAUUUCUGUAUGCUCCAAGAGCUGAUGGAGCGAAGAGGCGACAUAUGGAGUCAUUUUGAGGCUAUGCCUUUUACUUUCAAGGAUGCUCCAAGAGCUGAUGGAGCGAAGAGGCGACAUAUGGAGUCAUUUUGAGGCUAUGCCUUUUACUUUCAAGGAUGCUCCAAGAGCUGAUGGAGCGAAGAGGCGACAUAUGGAGUCAUUUUGAGGCUAUGCCUUUUACUUUCAAGGAUGCUCCAAGAGCUGAUGGAGCGAAGAGGCGACAUAUGGAGUCAUUUUGAGGCUAUGCCUUUUACUUUCAAGGAUGCUCCAAGAGCUGAUGGAGCGAAGAGGCGACAUAUGGAGUCAUUUUGAGGCUAUGCCUUUUACUUUCAAGGAUGCUCCAAGAGCUGAUGGAGCGAAGAGGCGACAUAUGGAGUCAUUUUGAGGCUAUGCCUUUUACUUUCAAGGAUGCUCCAAGAGCUGAUGGAGCGAAGAGGCGACAUAUGGAGUCAUUUUGAGGCUAUGCCUUUUACUUUCAAGGAUGCUCCAAGAGCUGAUGGAGCGAAGAGGCGACAUAUGGAGUCAUUUUGAGGCUAUGCCUUUUACUUUCAAGGAUGCUCCAAGAGCUGAUGGAGCGAAGAGGCGACAUAUGGAGUCAUUUUGAGGCUAUGCCUUUUACUUUCAAGGAUGCUCCAAGAGCUGAUGGAGCGAAGAGGCGACAUAUGGAGUCAUUUUGAGGCUAUGCCUUUUACUUUCAAGGAUGCUCCAAGAGCUGAUGGAGCGAAGAGGCGACAUAUGGAGUCAUUUUGAGGCUAUGCCUUUUACUUUCAAGGAUGCUCCAAGAGCUGAUGGAGCGAAGAGGCGACAUAUGGAGUCAUUUUGAGGCUAUGCCUUUUACUUUCAAGGAUGCUCCAAGAGCUGAUGGAGUGAAGAGGCGAGACGCCUCAUAAGCGAGACGCAACAUAAGCGAAAUGCCUCACAAGAGGGGCGCCUCACAGGCGAGACGCCUCACAGAGGGGCACUUCAAAAAUUGGACGCUCCAAGAGCUGUUAGAGCGAAGAGCUGGUGAGCCGAUGAGACGAUGAAAUAGGAGAGGCGAUAGAGCAUGGAAGCAAAUCAUUGAACCACUUGAGGGCUGUGCUAGAUACUUUUCAAAUUUUUGUAUGCUCCAAGAGCUGAUGGAGUGAAGAGGCGAGACGCCUCAUAAGCGAGACGCAACAUAAGCGAAAUGCCUCACAAGCGGGGCGCCUCACAGGGGAGACGCCUCACAGAGGGGCACUUCACAAGCUGGUGAGCCGAUGAACCAUGAGAGGCAAUAGAGCAUUUGGGCAAAUCGUUGAACCACCUAAGGCCUGUGCUAGAUAUUUUUCUGAAAAUUUCAAUGCUAUCUCGGUUCAAUGGCUCCACGCCUCCAUUGUCGAUCAGAUCUAAAGAGAUCAAUUCUCUGCUCAAACUCGGUUGUGGAUCCUCAUUGAAGAUUGCUUAUGCUUUUAUUCGUACCGGAGAUUUCAUUGCUACUACCAAUAUCAUCAUCAAAAUCGAGUCUAACUUGCUUUUACUCCUUCUUUUCCGGUUGUAAUAGAUUCACUUGAUUUGGUUGAUCUACUUUGCUCUUUAUAAAUAUUUUGUAUGCAUACAUAUAGUUAUAUCUUCCAACUGAAUCUGAAUAUGCAUGCUCGUUGUCCGAACUCGCUUGCGGCUCAUCUUCGAAAAGCUCCGUAUAUUGUAAUUCAUGUGUGUGAUUUGCCUUGAGAGAUCUUCAUUUUUGUUUCUGAAAAUAGCUUUUGUUCACCUUUUCAAUCGGAGCUUCCAUCCUGGCCAUCCUUGGUUGAUCCGUAUCUAUAUUUUCUUGUGUGUAUUGUUUAUGUGUGUGGUUGGAUGAAAAGAGCCCCUCCUUCUAGCGCCAAAUGUUGAGAUAUUACAAUGGAGGCUCUUUUCUCUUAAUUUCCAACCCCUUUCUUGGGGAUACAUGUUCUAUAUUUAUACUACUUGUCUAAUACUUGUGUGUGUUUUGGACCACAUGUCCUUGGACCCGUAAAUGGGCUUCUAGUCUAGUGGGCUGAGGCCCAACAUCACCACUUGGCGAACCUCCAAAAAAUGGAAAUUUGAAAUUUGGGGAGGACUGGAGGUUCCGGGACGUCGCGGAGGCCGGAGUGAUGGUUGAUGAGAAUGUGAAAGCUACAAGAAUGAUUGAAAGGAUGAACAGCUUGGAAAUGCCCAUCUUCUUGUUUCUUCUUUAGGUAAUUAUGAAGAAUGCAGAAAAUGAGAGAAGGUGGUGGCUCUUGUUGUGUGAGUAUGC
rnacentral:lncRNA from 1 species